rnacentral:rRNA from 1 species
CCCCAGACUCCUACGGGAGGCAGCAGUGGGGAAUAUUGCACAAUGGGGGAAACCCUGAUGCAGCGACGCCGCGUGAGUGAAGAAGUAUUUCGGUAUGUAAAGCUCUAUCAGCAGGGAAGAAAAUGACGGUACCUGACUAAGAAGCCCCGGCUAACUACGUGCCAGCAGCCGCGGUAAUACGUAGGGGGCAAGCGUUAUCCGGAUUUACUGGGUGUAAAGGGAGCGUAGACGGCAUGGCAAGUCAGAUGUGAAAGCCCGGGGCUCAACCCCGGGACUGCAUUUGAAACUGUCAGGCUGGAGUGCAGGAGAGGUAAGUGGAAUUCCUAGUGUAGCGGUGAAAUGCGUAGAUAUUAGGAGGAACACCAGUGGCGAAGGCGGCUUACUGGACUGUAACUGACGUUGAGGCUCGAAAGCGUGGGGAGCAAACAGGAUUAGAUACCCGUGUAUG